CACCAAAUCCUCUUGUUAGUCUCUGGUUUCCACAUCCUUUUCCAAAUCUUCAGGCCAGCUCAUAGCCUCACUUUUCCAUCUCUUCUCCAUUCCUCCAAAGUAGAGCUUCCUGCUGCUACAGGAAUAGCUGCGAAGUGGGAAAGAUCAAGGGUUGUAAGAGCUGCCCCAGAUAAUCUACAAAGAGCUUUGCUAGAAUUAGGUUGUGCAUCUCUGAACCUGAGCUACUACAUGUGUUGGGUCAGGGACCAUGCUUACCUACCAGCUCAAGAAUUGACAGAGGAGGUAUCUAAGAAAUGCUUGUUGGAUGAAUAAAUAAACAGCUGAGUGGGUGUUUAUAUGAGCCUGAAAACUGCCUGCACCAGCACAAAAGUAAAGCCCUGACACCCUCAGGCCACACCUACUGGAAAAAGAUAUGUCAGCCCCAGAAAAAUGUGGGCAACUUGACUAGGAUAAAGCAACGUGCUUCUGGGCUAUACAACUGCCCUGCACAAACCUGCAUGUCCUACACAUGUAUCCUGGAACUUAAAAUAAAAUAAAAUAAAAUUUUUAAAAAGAUUUGCAAAAUAAAAAAACGGUGGUUUUCAUUUAGGGUGAUGUUUUUCUCUCUCUCCAUCUGUCCAGGGGAUAUCAGGCGACUUUUUGGUUAUCAAAGUGGGAUACUAUCAUCUAGUGGGUAGAGGCCAGUGAUGCUGCUCACCGUCUACAAUGCACUGGAGAACUUCCUACAACAAAGAAGUAUCUAGUCCAAAAUUUCAGUAGUUCCAAGAUGCAGAAAGAUGACGCACAGAGAAGUGGCAGCCUGCUCCAGUUCCCGUAAUUAAAGAUUACAGUCAGGAUUGGAGCCCGAGGUCCUAACACCCAGUGCUCUCUCCACACUACCGUGGUGCCCGACUCAUACUUCUGCCACGACCACCCUC
rnacentral:lncRNA from 10 species